rnacentral:rRNA from 1 species
AUUGAACGCUGGCGGCAGGCCUAACAAAUGCAAGUCGAGCGAGCGGCGGACGGGUGAGUAAUGUAUGGGGACUGCCCGAUAGAGGGGGAUAACCACUGGAAACGGUAGCUAAUACCGCAUACUAUCGGAUAACCCAUAUGGGAUUAGCUAGUAGGUGAGGUAAUGGCUCACCUAGGCGACGAUCCCUAGCUGGUCUGAGAGGAUGAUCAACCACACUGCGACUGAGAGACGGCCCAGACUCCUACGGAGGCAGAAGUGGGGAAUAUUGCACAAUGGGCGCAAGCCUGAUGCAGCCAUGCCGCGUGUAUGAAGAAGGCCCUAGGGUUGUAAAGUACUUUAAGUCGGGAGGCGUUACCGACAGAAGAAGCACCGGCUAACUCCGUGCCAGCAGACGAGGUAAUAC